UACGUAGGGUGCAAGCGUUGUCCGGAAUUAUUGGGCGUAAAGAGCUCGUAGGCGGUCUGUCGCGUCGGCUGUGAAAACUCGGGGCUCAACUCCGAGCUUGCAGUCGAUACGGGCAGGCUAGAGUUCGGCAGGGGAGACUGGAAUUCCUGGUGUAGCGGUGAAAUGCGCAGAUAUCAGGAGGAACACCGGUGGCGAAGGCGGGUCUCUGGGCCGAUACUGACGCUGAGGAGCGAAAAGCGUGGGGGAGCGAACAGGG
rnacentral:rRNA from 1 species